UGGGGAAUAUUGCACAAUGGAGGGAACUCUUAUGCAGCGACGCCGCGUGAACGAAGAAGGCUUUCGAGUCGUAAAGUUCUUGUAUAUGGGAAGAUAAUGACGGUACCAUAAGAAAAAGCCCCGGCUAACUACGUGCCAGCAGCCGCGGCAAUACGUAGGGGGCUAGCGUUGUCCGGAAUCACUGGGCGUAAAGGGUUCGCAGGCGGAAAUGCAAGUCAGGUGUAAAAGGCAGUAGCUUAACUACUGUAAGCAUUUGAAACUGCAUAUCUUGAGAAUAGUAGAGGUAAGUGGAAUUUUUGGUGUGGCGGUGAAAUGCGUAGAUAUUAAAAAGAAUACCGGUGGCGAAGGCGACUUACUGGGCUCAUUCUGACGCUGAGGAACGAAAGCGUGGGUAGCAAACAGG
rnacentral:rRNA from 1 species